CCUACGGGCGGCAGCAGUGAGGAAUAUUGGACAAUGGACGAGAGUCUGAACCAGCCAAGCAGCGUGAAUGAUGACUGCCCUAUGGGUUGUAAACUUCUUUUAUGUGGGAAUAAAACGUUCCACGUGUGGGAUUUUGUAUGUACCAUAUGAAUAAGGAUCGGCUAACUCCGUGCCAGCAGCCGCGGUAAUACGGAGGAUCCGAGCGUUAUCCGGAUUUAUUGGGUUUAAAGGGAGCGUAGGUGGAUUGUUAAGUCAGUUGUGAAAGUUUGCGGCUCAACCGUAAAAUUGCAGUUGAAACUGGCAGUCUUGAGUACAGUAGAGGUGGGCGGAAUUCGUGGUGUAGCGGUGAAAUGCUUAGAUAUCACGAAGAACUCCGAUUGCGAAGGCAGUUCACUGGACUGCAACUGACACUGAGGUUCGAAAGUGUGGGUAUCAAACAGGAUUAGAUACCCCUGUAGUC
rnacentral:rRNA from 1 species